UCCCGGAUCGUCUAACGGCAGGACGACUGCCUCUGGCGCAGUUAAUCGGGGUUCGAAUCCCUGUCCGGGAA
rnacentral:tRNA from 1 species